rnacentral:rRNA from 1 species
UACGUAGGGUGCAAGCGUUGUCCGGAAUUAUUGGGCGUAAAGAGCUCGUAGGCGGUCUGUCGCGUCGGCUGUGAAAACCUAGGGCUCAACCCUGGGCCUGCAGCCGAUACGGGCAGACUAGAGUGAUGUAGGGGAGACUGGAAUUCCUGGUGUAGCGGUGAAAUGCGCAGAUAUCAGGAGGAACACCGAUGGCGAAGGCAGGUCUCUGGGCAUUAACUGACGCUGAGGAGCGAAAGCAUGGGGAGCGAACAGG